GCGGUAGUAGUCUAGUGGUUAUGAUUCCGCCUUCCCAUGCAAUAUAUAUGAGAUAGGCGGAGGUCCGGGGUUCGAACCCCCGCUGCCGCA